AGGCCUAAUACAUGCAAGUCGAGCGGUAGAGAGGUGCUUGCACCUCUUGAGAGCGGCGGACGGGUGAGUAAUGCCUAGGAAUCUGCCUGGUAGUGGGGGAUAACGCUCGGAAACGGACGCUAAUACCGCAUACGUCCUACGGGAGAAAGCAGGGGACCUUCGGGCCUUGCGCUAUCAGAUGAGCCUAGGUCGGAUUAGCUAGUUGGUGAGGUAAUGGCUCACCAAGGCGACGAUCCGUAACUGGUCUGAGAGGAUGAUCAGUCACACUGGAACUGAGACACGGUCCAGACUCCUACGGGAGGCAGCAGUGGGGAAUAUUGGACAAUGGGCGAAAGCCUGAUCCAGCCAUGCCGCGUGUGUGAAGAAGGUCUUCGGAUUGUAAAGCACUUUAAGUUGGGAGGAAGGGUUGUAGAUUAAUACUCUGCAAUUUUGACGUUACCGACAGAAUAAGCACCGGCUAACUCUGUGCCAGCAGCCGCGGUAAUACAGAGGGUGCAAGCGUUAAUCGGAAUUACUGGGCGUAAAGCGCGCG
rnacentral:rRNA from 1 species